rnacentral:rRNA from 1 species
CCUACGGGAGGCAGCAGUGAGGAAUAUUGGUCAAUGGUCGGGAGACUGAACCAGCCAAGCCGCGUGAGGGAGGAAGGUACAGAGUAUCGUAAACCUCUUUUGUCAGGGAACAAAGACUGGGACGCGUCCCCGGAUGCGUGUACCUGAAGAACAAGCAUCGGCUAACUCCGUGCCAGCAGCCGCGGUAAUACGGAGGAUUCAAGCGUUAUCCGGAUUUAUUGGGUUUAAAGGGAGCGUAGGCGGGUUGGUAAGUCAGGUGUGAAAGUUUGGGGCUCAACCGUAAAAUUGCAGUUGAUACUGGCAGCCUUGAGUACAGUAGAGGUAGGCGGAAUUCGUGGUGUAGCGGUGAAAUGCUUAGAUAUCACGAAGAACUCCGAUUGCGAAGGCAGCCUGCUGGACUGUAACUGACGCUGAUGCUCGAAAGUGUGGGUAUCAAACAGGAUUAGAUACCCCUGUAGUC